CAUCAAAGUAUCUAAUUUGGUGCCGUUUGUCAUUUUUUUAUUAACUUAAAAACUAAGAAUAAAAACGUCUUUUACACUUUUAGAUGUUUUAAAGAUAAUUGAUUAAAGGCAUAAAAGACAAACAGAAGCUUCAUGAUUUUUAAAGAGAAAAAUAGUAGAGGCAAAACGGUUGAAUUGAGAAGUUUGUGGGUCCAGAAGCUUCAUACCCUGAAAAUUGAAAGAGAGAAAAGGGAAGGAGAAAGAGAAAGAGAAGAGGGGUAGCGACAACUGGAUCAACUUAUCGCAUCUCCUUCAUGCUACCUGUAGAGGUUAAAAUUUUAAUCUCUCCUCUUCUCUCUUUUUUUCCCCUAAAUCUCUGUUUGGUUGGGUUUUUUUUUUAAGAAGAGGGAUAAACGUCUUCCAGAAAGCUGCCCUCUGGUGAUCUUUUAAUUAAGUUUUGGUGGUUCAAGUGAUUUCCAUAUGAUUAUGAGAUUAAUCAAUUCUUUGGUUAUUGACUGUUUUGGUUGAAUAUCUUUGGAUUUUAAAUGACAGAUGGAGGAGAUUUUACUUCUUAUUAAUGCUAUUGCUCAUAUUUAUGAGCGAUUUCUACAAAUUAUAGUGGUAAUUUUGUGUUGAAUGUACAUGGGCAUUUGCUCCAAAACAAAUGUCAAUCUCUUUAUUUGAAAACAUAUAGCAAUAUGGACUAUUUUAUCUUCUAUCCACAUUUGAUUUAAGGAAUAUUAAAUUCAGGAAUGAUGAAGUUUAUGUCUUUAGUUUUGGUUAAUAUGCUGCCGUGUGUAUCUUGUCAGUCAUCACAGUGGCUUCAGGAAAUGGGUUCAUAUGUGAUAGGCAUUUAGAUUCAAUGGAACCUCACAUAAACAGCGGAUUCUUGAGUUAGAGAUAUUAGAGGUAUUGCAGCAUCUUGAUCCUUGAUUGAUGUAAGGGGCACCAUGUGACGGAAAAGAGAGAAGAACAAUCAACAACUAUGAAUGCUUUCGAGUGGGCAUAUCUUUUGGGUUUUUGGCUUCUAUUUGCAGGUUUGAUCUUUGCUUUUCUAUUCUUCCUGUUUUUUAUUGAAUUUGGUUUCUAUUUAUCCUCUCUAUUUUUAUUUUUUUUUUGUGGACUUGGUUGGGCCACAUUACAUUCUAAUAUAAGAUUGAGAGUUCUCAAAUCAAAACCAGUAAUGAAAUUCUUGGUGUCAGACUUUUAAUACGAAAUUCUUUUCAUUAACUGAUAUUUUUAUGAAGCUUUUUCCCCUUAGAUUGUGAUGACAUUUACUUUUUACGCAUUUAGAAUUAAACGUGUAAAUCUAUGAAUUAACGAUAGAUUGUGAUUGUAUAAUGAAUCACUAAAUUAUUUUUUAUUAUAUUCACUUACUUUAAUAUAUUACAUUCAUAAUAAUUUUUUUUUUGUACUUUUUUUAAACAACUCUCGCAGCAUAGCAUGGGUUAAAAUCUAGUAUCUGAUUAUGGAAACCUCGAAAUGGCUUGAAACUUGAAGCAUCUUGAUCAUUAUUGUUAUUUAUUUGUCUGUAUUUCUUGCUAACCUGUAACGUUAAUAGAGCUACAAUUAACAAGUCUAAUGCCUAUGAUUAGUUUCAGUCAAUGUCUUGGGUCCUGUUGUAAUUUGGUUUGUACUUUAAAAAGUUGUUUCAUGUGAAGCAACUGUUAUU